ACCUACUUCUCAGGCCUAUUUUUAAACUUUACUUGCUCUCAUAAGAGAACACAUUAAGCACAUAAUGAAAGAAUAUCGGACUGGAUGCUUUGAGUUGAUUUUUUAAAUGCAGCUUUUAUUGUACAAGGAAGCUUUGUUUAUUAGAUUAGCAAAUAUCUGGUGCUUUUGGACUUAAUAAACUUGCCUUAUUCCUCCUUCCUGUAGGUUGACACUUUAAAUUAUUAUUUAAAUUAUUUGUUCAUAAAACAUUGUUCAUAUAUUAGAAAAAAUCAAUUGAAUUUUCUCUGUUCUCCUUUCUUGCCUUAUGUACCCUUAUUUUACUUGUAGAUGAAAAACUUUUAAGUGUAGAAUAAACCCGUAAUACUCUGUCAGAAAUCCAAGAUGCGGAGUUUCUCAAGUUUUAACUAGUUUUGGCACACUUUUAAAAUGCUCUGCAGUAUGUUAGCUAAACUUAUGUUACCAGCUGAUAUCUGCUGCCUGUGUAUAUAUUUAGUAGAGUAUUAAUAAAUACCAUUCUUCAUGAGUUAAAUCUUCGUUUUCAGAUCUUGAGUCUUCACAGAGUAGUUGGUCUACCAGUUACUCUCCAAGGCCCACAGAUAGUUGUUUCAGUUCUAGUUCAGAGAUGCUGUCUGAAGAUGAAGAUCAAAUAUUGCAGCAAAUUGAAGAUUCAAAUGGGAGAUCCAUCAAAACCAAAGAAACAACUAACAGUUUUUAUUUAGAAAGGAUGGCAAAACUUCCACAUGAUAGGAUUGCUAAAAACAAUGCCAAAAUUCAUUAACAAAAUGAGAAUUUUCACCAGUUCUCACUUAAAGAUAAGACAGAUCAGUUUCCACAGUCUCAGUGUGAUUCAGCACACAUUGUGCAAGACAAAAGCAGUAAUUGCACUGUACAAGUUGCAAGAUGUGAUGCAUGGGUACAAACUGAGAGUGAACCUGUAAUGAAAGAAAAGUUAGAUGCUGCCAUACAGUGUGAUAUAAUUUCAAAAUGUAAAUGUAUAAGUGAUGUGUCUUCUCUUUGUAAUGUUGAAAGGUGCAGUGAAAAUAUUAAGGCAGAUACCACUGGAGGGCAGGAAAUCCUUAAGAACAACUAAUAUGCUAAGAUAGCCUGAGAUUUAGCAUUUCACUUAAUGUUCAGAAUUUCAUUAACAUAAUAAGGAAUGAGAAAAUGCAGCUAAGCACAAGGUGGAAGUAGUCACAAGAUAUAUUUAUGGUUUAUUUUUAAACAUUUUAAUAUUAUUAAUUUAUGCAUUUGCUUUGCAUAGAUAUUUCUUUAGUAUCUUCAAGUUUUUAGAAAAUAAUAUAUAUGUAAAUUUACUAUCAUUCUUAUGGUGAUUAUUCAUUGUAUUAUGAUAUGCUGCUGUUUGUGGAUUAAAAAUAUGUUUACUUGC